GCAUGCGUAUCCCUCCCACAACGACAGCGCCUGUGUAACGUUCUUCCUGGCCAGCGGGGCGUCAGUCUCGCGCUCACUUUGGGUGUCGUUGGGGGCCUUUGCUCGCGCGAGGUGGAGGAGACCUCGUGAGAGGAUGACUCUGGCCCGCUAGAAAGCAAAGAUUUGGCCUGGAAGAUCGGGGUGGCCGUUAUGGGACUGAUGAGACUUGAGGGAAAAGGAGGUUUCCUAAAUGAGGAAGGAGACCCAGGCUCCAUCUACAUUCACCAUAUGGCCCAGUUUAUGAAUGCCUAUUAUCUUCUUUAAACAGGAUUAUUUGAGUCUCCACUGCAAGAUAGUCCAGUUUAAAGCAGGUCAUCUGUAUUCAGAAAUUGGGUUAUAUGGCAGGGUAGAUGGGGCCUCAGGGUGCGUCAACCCCAGAAUGGGUGCAGUUUGACACUAUUGACACUGCCAAUAGUUCAGUGCUGUGGGAUCAUGAGAGUUGUAGUUUGACAUGGUCUUUAUAUGUAUGCUAACCGCCCUAAGUCCCUCUGGGGAGAGAGGGCGGUCUAGAAAUAAAGUUUUAUUGUUAUUAUUUCUAUUAUUAUUAUCCCUCUGGCAAAGAGUACCAGUGCCUCACCAGACUACAGCUCCCAUCAUUCCAUAGCAUUGAGCCAUGGCAGCUAAAGGGGUCCCAAACUGCACUAAUUCUACUGUGUAGAUGCAACCUGAAUCACAUUAGUUGUUGUCUUCUGCUGUUGCCCUGUGAUCACUGGAUAUACUGCCUCAUCACACUAGAGCAUGAAUCCACUUUAAAUCUGGUUUCUGCCUCCUGCAGAAUUCUGGGGUUUGUAGUUUGGUGAGGCCCAGAACCUGUCUGGCUGAGCUGUUUAAAGCCCCCUCCCCUAAAGUGGAUCCAAGCUCUAGUGUGAUGAGCUCUAUUGAUCAGGCCUGGGCAAACUUGGGCCCUCCCGGUUUAGUUGGACUUCCAACUCCCACCAUUCCUAACAGCCUCAGGCUCCGCUCAAGCAGCUGAGGGGAAAGGGCCUGAGGCUGUUAGGAAUGGUGGGAGUUGAAGUCCAACAAAACACCUGGAGGGCCCAAGUUUACCCAGGCCUGAUCUAGAUGAUAAAGAUUUGAGAACAGUUUCAUUCCCCCACAUUUAUGGCUCUGUUUACUUUUUUUGGUUCCUUUGUCACUAAGCUGCUUGGCAAUGAGAACUUUAACAAGUGAGCUUUGUCCAGAUGCAGAACAAAUUGACAUCUUUAAUCUGUUUGUACAGUACAGUAAUGCUGCCAAAAGACUUUUUAAAAUUAUAGCCAGCUCUAUUAAAGGACCUUGGAUUCACCUUCUCUCAGGCCCAUCUACCCUGCCGUAUAAUGCAGUUUAACUGCAUUAUAUGAGUCUACACUGACUGUGCUGGAACUGUAUAAGUCCCAGUCCCUUUUGUCAGGUUGCCUCACCCACAGUUUCAUAGCAGUCACUUUUCUGUUAGUUUUAUGAGGGUGGAGUUUAAGAAAAUCCUUCCUGGUUUGUAUCAGUAAGUUUGCCUGCCCUUUUUCCUAGGGAAAGGGAGCCAUUUUAGAUUGUUAAUAACUCUAAUUACCACUAGGAAGUCUUGGAAGUGAGAUGUAUCUAUAGUUGGUCUCAGCAAGAUCCAGGAUUGAACAAGGAAUUUCAAGCCAAUACUACCAUAACUGUAACUAUUCUGGAACUCAUUUGACUAUACUGAUCUACUGCUGGUCAGUGGCAGCCUGUGGAGUUUCCAGCGCCUUCAGCAAGGUACCAGGCCUCAAUAGGAGAUACCUGCUUUCUCAGCCUCCAGCCUGAUCACCUUGGACAUUGGACCGCCCCAGAGGCCCCUUUACCAGAGAAAGUGAGCAUGGGAAACUUUCAUCUGGCCUUCGUCUACAGAAUCAUCCAUGAGCAGUGACCUCCAGAACAACCAGUUACCUUCAAACUUUAAAAUGUUGGUCCCUGUUUGCCAUUUGAGAAAAACUGUUGAAAAGAGACAAGAUUAACAAUAACAUUUGGUGACAGAACAAUUCAGGACCAUAUAAUAGCAAUGCUAUAAAUGAGCUCACACCCUGUUACAGUCUAUCUGCUAUUAAGUCAUUCUCUAGGAUGAACUAGCUCACCUAAGAGGCCGCCUUCUCUACCAAGACAACGUGAACUGACUUCUAUUCAGAGAAAGAAGAAAAGCCAAGGUAUCUGACCUCCUUCCAAGCAAGUGAAAUACGGUCUCUUUUAGGGGAACAGGUAAAUUUCCUCAGGUUUUAAAGAAUCAGUGUUAUAGUAAAGAAAUAAAUUGAUAAAAGGCUUUUGUCCUUAAGAGUGUGAAUGAUUAAUACAUUCCGAAUAUAUGUUCCAUGUAGGGUAAUAGAUUUUGAAUAAAGUUUAGGUUGAUCUGAGUAAAUGUUAUAGUAGGCAUAAAAAGCUCAUUUUAGAUGCAGUAUCUCCAAAGUCAACUGCAGACAUUUAAAAAAAAUCUAAUUUUUAAGACAGAAUUAUCAAUGUGGAAUGAUAUAAAAGAUUUUUAAAAUACAUAUAUCUUGUGUCUUCAAGUUGUUUCCAGCUUACGGUGACCGUAAGGUGAACCAAUCAUCGGGUUUUCUGGGUCUCAUAGUGUGACUUGUCCAAGUUCAUCCAGCAGCUUUCCCAAAUUGUUAGUCCAAGAUUAUUCUACUGUAUUAUUCAUUAAUGUUAAAAUGAAGAGGUUCUUCCAUUCUAAAAAUAACCUAACAGUUUUUGCAUUGAUUGAAAAUAGUACAGGCUGAUAGUAGAUUAGCAAGAUUAACUUAAUUUGGAAAUACUAAUCUUCCUGGGUCACUCUGGCAUCUGAUUUGUCUGUCUACUGGAAGGAAUCGGGUCAAGUUGAGAACUUCCCAGACUGAUCAAGGCUUGAAGCGACCAUCAGUUUAAAAAUAGCCUUUGGGUCAAAAGUUGAGACUGCUGGUGUUUAAGAUUGCUAUGGAUGCCUUAGGGGCUGAUCUUCAUCUCAACACCCAACAGGAAGAGUGUGUCCCUGUUGGUACUUCAGAUCUCCCUGUGGCUUUCGAUGCCAUAAACCAUGCAAUGACUGGAGGGUUGGAAAUCAUCCUGAAAGACUGCUCCCAGCUUGAGAGUGCUCCUGGAUCCACCUCUGCAAAUGUCAGUCCAGGUAGAUGCUUACUACCAGCUUUGGCUGAUACGCAAGAUGCACCCCUUCCUAGAAUCAGGGGACAAAGAUGGCAGUGUAUGCAUUGGUAACCACAAGCUUGGACUUCUGCAAUGUGCUGUACAUUAGACUUCCUCUAUAUCAAGUUUGGAAACUCCAGUUAGUACAAAACAUAGCAGCUAUAUCGAUUACAAGCACAUCCAGGAGUGAGCGAUUACACCCAUAUUGAAGUCACUCCACUGUUUGCCAAUUCAUUUCUGAGAAAGCACAAAAUGUUGGUUAUGAUCUUUUUAAAGCCCUACAUGGUUUGUGUCCAGGUUACCUACAGGAUCACCUUCUCCCAUAAAAGCUGGCCUGGACACAGGUCCUCUAGGAGAUGCUUACUCCAAUCAGCCAGAACAUAAUUGAAAAUUAUCUCCCAGAAGACCUUUUAAUUAGCUGCUUCUUUAUUGUGGAAUGACCUCCCAGAAGCAGCCCCCGGUGGAGUAGUGGGUUAAAGCCUUGUGACUUGAAGGUUGGGCUAUUGAUCUGCAAGCUGCCAGGUUCGAAUCCCACCCGGGGAGAGCGCGGAUGAGUUCCCUCUAUCAGCUCCAGCUCCAUGCGGGGACAUGAGAGAAGCCUCCCACAAGGAUGGUAAAACAUCAAACACAUCUGGGCGUCCCCUGGGCAAUGUCCUUGCAGACGGCCAAUUCUCUCACUCCAGAAGCGACUUGCAGUUUCUCAAGUCGCUCCUGACCGGGGGGGGGGGGGGGGGGAGAACCCCAGGAAAAGAUCUGACAACAAAACAAGCUGUCACAAUUAAAAACAAAUUAAAGACCCAUCUCUUCUGGCAGGCUUACCCAUACCCAAUCAAUUUUAAACUAUGCAUUUUUAAUUUACAUUUUAUUUUUUAAAUUGUUGUUCUAUGUCUUUUAAUAUUUGUAUUUUAAUAGUCUUAGUUUAAAUGCAUGUAUAAAACAUAAAACCAAUAAUAAUAAUAAUAUAAACAAAUUUUAUGAUAAGCCACAUUAUCAUACAUUGCAACAGCUUACAAAGCAAACUUUUAUUGAAGCAUUAUAAUUUCUGGUACAGGUAUAUUUUUGUACAUUUUAAUGACCCAUGUCUAACACCACAGAGAGAAAUUUUAAACACCAAACAUCACCCCCCCUCUUUUGUUCACCCUUGUGUUGAUAAAUACCCAUUCAACCGCUUCCUUUCUAUUCAAGGCUUAUUUUUACCCAACUCUGCAUUUUUAUAUUAUUCAGAGGGAUCUUCAGUCUAGCAGACCUCAAGCCAACAAGAAGUGCCAUUCUCUUUGGCACUCUUUAAGAACAAAAAGCAUUUGAAAAAUUGGUCCUUUAAAGUUUAAAGCACCUCAAAACGUUAGAUGCUACUCAGAAGCAAAACUGAUAAUUCUGGUAGAAAAAUCUAUUUAAAAAUUUAAAAAGUGAAGAUGUUCCAACUGCUUGAUUCCCAACCAAGCAAUUCAGUAGCCUAGGAACACUAAAAAAGUGUUCCAUUUAUAAAUACAGAAGGAACAAAAUAGUUAUAUUCAGAGAACCGAAACAUAGCAAGGACUAGUGUAUCAAAUUUGUAAUAGACUUGCUGGUCUCAACAGUUGAAAUCCCAGAGUGUUUCAAAUGACACUUGAAUACACUUGUCUUUCAGAAGCUUGUAUUGUAAUACCCAUGAAGUGAUUUCCAAGCAUAAACUGUUAUCAAUUCCUACAUUUAGUGGUGUACUUCACUGUGUCUAGACAACCCAUAUUAGAUUUGUUGAGAGCCAAAUCAUUCAGAGCCUUCCACAUCAUGUAAAAAGGAACCACACAUUAAUCAGGAGGAAACACAGAUGAAAUUACUACAUUGUUAAUUCAGCUUAAAUAUUACAUGCAUAAUGAUGUCAUAGCGUGGAAGGGCCUGUGGUGUUUGAAUUAAUACGAAGUAGCACUUGAGCCAGCAUAUUUCACAGUUUAGAAAACGGCAACUAAUUUGUGCAGUAGUUUUGAGUCACAUUUUGUGAAAGGCCUAGAACCAGCUUAGUCCAUACUGCCACAAUUGUGUCAGUGCAUUCAGAAGUUCAACAGCUUCCACAGUUGCUAUGGGUCGCCUUUGAACAAAAGACCAACAUUAAACAGAAAGGUUUUCACCCCAGUUUAGCAGACCUGAAAAAUUAACUGUGACAAAUGAGCAAGUAAGUUCCUAGAGGUGAAAAUCUAGUGUACUAACCCCCCAAACAUAAUGUCCUUCCAUUAGUUCUGGAAAUGUAUAUAGAUCUAAAGUAAAAAAACAAAACAAAACCUAAUGUGACUAAUCUCACAUUUUAAAAAUUGAAGUACCCCAUGUUGUUAAGUAGUCUUGUUCUACCAGUUUCAACUGCAAAUUGAACGUGCCAAGAGGAGAAAGAAUAAAUGUCAAUUAGAAAUAAAUGAAAUCCAAGAAUUGAUUUAAAAAUUAAGUUACAGCACACAUGAAAAAGUUAGGCAACAAUUGUUUUAGCGAAGUAGGUCCAAGGGAAAUGUUAAUGAGGACGAAAUCCUUGUCUGUGGGGAAUUUUUGGUGAUACUUGGAGAAAAACUAUACUGCAUGUAAUCCUAUUUGAAUUGUUUUUACAAAUGUUGUAGAGUCUCAUACAGUAAAAUUUUUCUACAUGCAUUUCAAUUUCACAGCAAGAGUGAAAUAGAAUACCUAAACACAGAAGAGAGCGUUCAUGCAAUAUAUCUAAUUUUUUGAUAUAAUAAUGCAUACAAUUGAAAAUUAUACUAUGAUUACAUCUAGGGCUUUUUGCAACUACGAGGUGGAUAUGAAAAAUAUGGCCCCUUGUAUCAUUAACUAGAAAGCAACCACCACCUCUUCUACUGGGUAUCUUUUUGCGCUUUUUCUUCAUUUUUCUUAAUCAACUCUGCUGUUUAUUCUUGGCAAAACUGGUGAAAACGAAGUUGUAGUCAUUAAACUGAGCAAUCUGG